CCUGCGGAAGGAUCAUUAAUGAAUUCACUAUGGAGUUGUUGCUGGCCUCUAGGGGCAUGUGCACGCUUCACUAGUCUUUCAACCACCUGUGAACUUUUGAUAGAUCUGUGAAGUCGUCCUUCAAGUCGUCAGGCUUGGUUUGCUGGGAUUUAAACGUCUCGGUGUGACAACGCAGUCUAUUUACUUAACACACCCCAAAUGUAUGUCUACGAAUGUCAUUUAAUGGGCCUUGUGCCUAUAAACCAUAAUACAACUUUCAACAACGGAUCUCUUGGCUCUCGCAUCGAUGAAGAACGCAGCGAAAUGCGAUAAGUAAUGUGAAUUGCAGAAUUCAGUGAAUCAUCGAAUCUUUGAACGCACCUUGCGCCCCUUGGUAUUCCGAGGGGCAUGCCUGUUUGAGUGUCAUUAAAUUCUCAAACUCACAUUUAUUUGUGAUGUUUGGAUUGUUGGGGGUUGCUGGCUGUAACAAGUCGGCUCCUCUUAAAUGCAUUAGCAGGACUUCUCAUUGCCUCUGCGCAUGAUGUGAUAAUUAUCACUCAUCAAUAGCACGCAUGAAUAGAGUCCAGCUCUCUAAUCGUCCGCAAGGACAAUUUGACAAUUUGACCUC
rnacentral:rRNA from 1 species